rnacentral:tRNA from 1 species
GGUCUUAUAGUUUAUUUAAAAUAUAAAGUUGCAAACUUUGAGAAACAUAUAAAGUGUUGUUAAGACUU